rnacentral:misc_RNA from 1 species
CAAUAGCGCAAGUGAUUAAGUGAGAACUCUAAGGAAGAAAGCAAUCACAAUAGAAACUAGCACAAGUGACACGGUGAUUUUAUCUCGUGGUUUGGUCAAUGCCUACUCCAUGUUGUGGUGACCUCCUUCGGUCAAGGAUUGCACUCAAUUCCUCUCAAGUGAUCCAAAGAUCAAACUUGAGUACCACUGUUUUCUUCCUUUUCUCAAGUAUUCCCUUUGUGAGGAAUCUCCACAAGUUGGAGCCUAUCACCCUUACAAGAUUGAUCACAAUUAAACCACAAGAGUAAGGGAGGGAAUAAAGACACACUCAAGAGCUAUAGUCGCAGCAACGACACCCACACAAGUCAAGAACCGAGCACACAACACAUCGCAGCAAGUUCACAGCUUAAACAAGUGCUCAAAUCUCAAACACAAUGAAUCGAAUGCGUGCUUGCGGAGUCUAUACGUCUUAGGAUUCAAUGGAGGCUUAGUAUUCUGCUCCAUGCGCUUAGGGGUCCCUUUUAUAGCCCCAGUGCAGCUAGGAGCCGUUGGAGCUCUAUUUGGAAGACCAUUAUUGUCUUCUGUCCGUGGACGCACCGGACUGUCCGAUGUGCACCCGACAGUGAACAGUACGCGCAUAAAACGUAGCAAAGAAUCCCCUGAUUGGCUGGUUUCCGCUUCUGGGGGCACCAAACUGUCCAAUGUGCCUAUCGACUAUUGGUCAGCGCUGACAUGUCCACUAGCCGUUACGCAGCUGGUACACCGGACUGCGACGCCUCACGCGGAACAUCCGUUGAAUUAUAGCCGACCUAGGCUGAAAAAAACUAGGCUUCCCCAGAACGUCAGAUGGACAGAUCCUGAGCUGCCCUUGCUGUAUAGGGUUACGAAACUGAUGACGGUGAAAUUUUCCAUAAAACCUAGCAACACCCGAAUCGAUAGACAGUUGAGCAACAGGUACGAUGUUGCAGUAAAGAGGAAAUGGGAAGAGUUUGAUAAGGAGCCGAGAUUCUUCACAUUGACAUUAGGUCACCUUCAAAUCCAAUUCCAAGAGUUGCAAAUUACACAUUUCGGAAAUCUUUUCACCUGGGUUACAGUAUACACUAACAAGUUGUCAUUGCGUGGCAAAUCGAACACAAAAGAACACGAGCAUGGUGCUAUGAUACAUCGACGUGACAGAGAACGUACCCCGGUAUCAGAUGACCCAGAACCAAGCCACAAUGGAACCAAUGACAAGGCCAACAACGAGGAACAGCACGAUGACGAUCCCGGCAGUCUCCGAGUGGUGGAUGGGAACAGCCUUGGGCGCGAGGAUCAUGAGGACGGAGGUCAGGUACCCGUUAGUGAGCCCCAGGAGGCACGUCAGCACGGUGACGGGGAUCUCGGUGCGGAAAAAGCUCGGCCCGUGCAGGCAGCCGUAGAAGAGCGGGUAGAACAGGAGCCUCGCAAAGGACCCCGCGAUGGCGGCGCUGCCAUUCUGGAGGAGGUAGACAGCGGGCAGGGCCUUGCCGACGAGGUCGAACACGUUGUAGGCGGUGAUGAGGAUGAUGGGGUACCAGUCCCCGAGCGCCUCGGAGUGCACGUCCUCCGUGAUGUACCCUGGGAAGAUGGAGAGCGUGACGGCGUAGAUGAGCGCCACUCCGAUCCCGUACCACUUCACGGUCCCGACGAUGCUCCACAGCGUCGACCUCCACGCGGGGCCCGUCAUGCCGCCGCCGACCUCCGCUUUCUGCGCCCUCUUCUUCAUGUUCUUGUAGUAUAUCACGACCGGGAGCCUGUCCGCCACGUUGUAGCACACGAUGCAGAUGACCAUGAGGACUAUGCCGGCCACGAAGUAGAGGAUCGCGCUUUGCCUUAGCCCGUUCGCGUCCUGUGGGUACAGUGCCUUGGUGAAGACUCUCAGUGCCGAGACAAGCACUCCUGCAGAAUGAAGUCCAUGCAGAAAUGUGUACUACCAGGUGUUAGAAUCUGUCUGCCGACCAACUCAAUCCUUGAAACAUCAUACGCACUGAGAAAUUGCAAACAGAAACCACAGCCACCAGCUGCAUUGUAAUCUUUCUUAUAAGCUCUGCAAUUUCGUGCCCUCAUUUUUCUUUUUCCCCCAAUUCAAUUCCCAAUCCCCAAUACAUAGGAGUAUUACUUAGCCAAAUACACACAACCACCGUAAUUAUAAGCAAUUGAACAACCACGAUAAGUCCACUCCAACACACAUUCUGUGCUUCAUGUUCUGACGACACCUACUGGCGACUGCCGGCCAGGUUGACCAUUUUGACUAGAAGCAGGAUGAGAGAAAUCGUGAAGGAACAAUUCAGAAACCAGGUAGCUACAGUUGCCAAUUCCUCAAAAUGAAGGUGAUUUUGAGGAAGAAUUGAAGAGGUGGGUAACUUCGAUGGGGAGUAUUAGAAGAGAGAUCAGAAGGGGGGGGGGAGAGAAAUUAAGAGAGAGAGAGAACACUGCACACCUGAGGCGGCGGUUCCGGCGACGACGGCCUGCAUGUACCGUUCGGGCAGCUCCCCCGCGAAGCCGAUGACGCCUCCCUGCACGAGCGCGUCGGCGACCCCGCACAGAGCCGUGGCGGCGACAGUCACAUCGAACGCUCCGUACAGCCCGGCCCUCCCCUUGACGUAGAUGAGGUCCAUUGCGGGCACGAGCACGAGCGUGAGCGUGAAGAGCGUGAGCCCCGUGUUGAUGCGGAUGGGGGCGCUGGACUUGGGGAAGAAGAGCACGAUGACGAGCAGGGGCAGUAAGGCGGAGACCAUGUAGGAUAUGGAGAACACGCGGUCGACGGGGGCCCCCGGGUAGAGGAAGUCGAAGUAGUCGACGGCGGUGAUGAACGCGUUCCAGGGGAGCAGGAAGCCGGCGCCCAGGGUGAAGAAGAUGAGGUAGCCGAUGCCGAGCCGGUCGUCUGGGGGCGGGCCCGCGGAGGGCUCGUCCGCCAGGGCAGACGCCGGCGGGGGCAGCAGCGGCGCCGCCGUCUCCACGUCGCCGACGGCCAUGGUUGGGGAUCUCGGAUGAGUACGGGUGGGCUUUGGACCUUGGGAGUUGUUUGUUGCUUUUGCGUUGGGUUUUCUUUGCUUCCUCGUCUGUGGUUGUGGACCUUUUGUAGUGCGGGUAUCUCUACUUGUCCCACUGACAGGUGGGGUCGUGAUGUUG